UCCAGUGGUUCGACACUCGUCCUUCGUCCCCUAAACCCAGACACACCUCGACACCACGAACGGGUCUGGGCUGUCAAAACACGCGACGGCGUGUUGAGUUCCAAUAACUUGCACAAUGAUUAAUGAGCGGCUUGAUAAUUUAAUACCGCGUAUGAUUAAAUUAUAAGGCGUGGGGGAGGGGAGCCUGGGCGGACGCCGCGGAGCGAGCGGUUCGCCGCUACGCGCAAAGCCGCGCUCACCCUCUGCGCAGCGCUCUGCAAAGCUCCGAGAGCUGUGGGUCCGCGCCUUCCAAGUGAGCUGUCCUGGGUGCUGAUGCUGGAUGGGCAUCUCCGUCCCUGAGAUGUGUUCCAAACGAAAGAACUUCAGCACUUAGGCCUGUGUGUGGAUAACUGCAGACCAUCUUCAGAGAUGACUGUAAAAUAUCCCUGACCAUCACAGAUGUCAGCCAGCUCCAUGGUUCUCUUCUCUCUCUCCCCUGCCCAGGACUCAUGAUUACAAUUGACAGAAGGAACCAGGGCAUCAAGAAUAUGCUGGAGGAUUGGAGGCCACUGAGGUUGAGGGAAGGAGAACUGGGAAGGAAGGUCCCUGCGAACACGUCUCCCUCAUGUCAGCCAGGCCAGUUGUCCAGGAGACAUUCUGAAUAAUGCCUCAUCCUGGAAGUGGCUUGUGUUCUCAUGGACAGCGGAGAAAAAUGGAAACAUGAGCCAAAGGAAGAUUCCAGAACCUAGGAACAUGUUUGUGCGGGUCUGCAGACAGCAGACAGACAUCCCUCCAUUCUCUGAGAGCCACUCUUCUGUGUUAUGACUGGACCCGUAGUCACUAGGUUUCCAAAGGCAGAGUAAGUCUGUGGGAAAACUGACCCCUGGUGUCCACAGGGAGUGGAGUAGGUAUUAUUUGUUGUAUUUUAGUAGGACCUUUAGUGGAAUCACUAAAGGAAGAUCAGCUGACAACUAGGAUGAGUAUAAGAGCUGAAAAGUGACUUUCACGGCUGUCCCUGGUAACUAGAAUACGUCUAUAGCUUCCUGAAUAGACAACCCCACCCUACUUUUUUUCUUUCUUCUUUGGCCGCAUCUAUGGCAUAUGGAAGUUCCAGGGCCAGGGCUUGAAUCUGAGCCACAGCUUUGACU
rnacentral:lncRNA from 1 species